rfam:Myotis brandtii contig317519, whole genome shotgun sequence.
CGUGCACCAGUGGGGUCCCUCGGCCUGGCCUGCGCCUUCUCCCAAUCCCUCGGGGGAUGCCCGAGAGCCGGUUUCAGCCUGAUCCCGCAGGCCAGGCCGAGGGACCCCACUGGUGCACA